CAUGGUGUUCAUGGCUCAAAAGAGCUUCUUAAACCUCUAAAGAGCACAAAGCUCCAAAUCUCUUAACCAAAAUCCAAACCCUAGAGGAAAACCUUACAAAACUUACCUCUAGUCCAAGCUCCACCAAGAUUCUUCUUGUCGGAGAGCUCCUAGAACCUCCAAAGCCUCCAAAUCCACCUUCUUCUCCAAGCUCUUCUUCUUCUUCUCCAAGCUCUUCUUCUUCUCCAAGUUCUAGAGGAGUUUUAGAGAGAGAAAGAGAGAAAAUGAGAGAGGAGGAGAGAAAUGGCUGUGGGAGAGAGGGGGUGGGCCAUAUAUAGUGUUGUAAUAAUUG
rnacentral:lncRNA from 1 species